UACGGAGGAUGCGAGCGUUAUCCGGAUUUAUUGGGUUUAAAGGGUGCGUAGGCGGAGACAUAAGUCAGUGGUGAAAACCUGCAGCUUAACUGUAGAAUUGCCGUUGAUACUGUGUUUCUUGAGUAUGGUCAAGGCAGGCGGAAUGUGUAAUGUAGCGGUGAAAUGCUUAGAUAUUACACAGAACACCGAUUGCGAAGGCAGCUUGCUGGGCCAUUACUGACGCUGAUGCACGAAAGCGUGGGGAUCGAACAGG
rnacentral:rRNA from 1 species